ensembl:lncRNA LINC01127 long intergenic non-protein coding RNA 1127
ACCUUUUCAUCCAGUGAGGACACAGGGAGAAGAUGGUCAUUAGCGACCAGGAAGAGGGUCCCCCCACCAGAACCCCAUGCUGGCACCUGAUCUCGACUUCCGGCCUCCAGAAAUCUUUGAGAAGCAGAUAGGCUUGAAUGAGCAUGGAAUGUAUCUAUUUAAAAAGCAGCUGGAAGUCUGUCAAGUGCAUUCUGGAAAUGGAUUCAGGCUAACAGAGUGUUCUGAAUAGAGACGCCUAAAACAAGAGCCAAAGACAUAGCAAUGGAGAACGUGGGUGGUACAGCCCUCCACCCUGGCGAGCAGCACAUUAGAAUCACGUAGGAGCUUAAAAAGUACUGACUGGCCUGGUCUUUUUCGGUGUGAAGGUGGGAUGCAGGCUUCCUGGGGUUAUCCUCUCGUACAGCCAGAGUUGAGAACCAUCUGAGUAGCGCUUGUCACACUUCUGGCCACAUCAGAAUCGUCUGAGGGACUUGUUCACUGCAGGUUGCUGGGUCCCAUCUCUAGCCUCUGAUCCAGUAGCCUGGGGUGGGGCACAGGAUGUCCUGCUGCUGGGGUCUGGGCAGCGCUAUGAGAACUGCUGACGUUGGAGCUCGAUCAGGUGGUCCCUCACUCCCUGACCCAGGGCAUUUGCUGCUUCCUGUCUCUGCCAUUCUUUUCUCAACCUGGGGCACUUGCUUUUCUCGCUAUGCUGCCCUGCCCUUUGCUGAGGCCUGGGCUAUCCCUGGCAGGGUGCAGAAAAAAAAUUUUUAAGUUACUUUUCUCAGCC